rnacentral:rRNA from 1 species
AACGAACGCUGGCGGCAGGCCUAACACAUGCAAGUCGAGCGAAGCCUUCGGGCUUAGCGGCGGACGGGUGAGUAACGCGUGGGAACGUGCCCUUUGGUACGGAAUAGCCCCGGGAAACUGGGAGUAAUACCGUAUGUGGUCGAGAGACGAAAGAUUUAUCGCCAAAGGAUCGGCCCGCGUUGGAUUAGGGAGUUGGUGGGGUAAUGGCCUACCAAGCCGACGAUCCAUAGCUGGUUUGAGGGGAUGAUCAGCCACACUGGGACUGAGACACGGCCCAGACUCCUACGGGAGGCAGCAGGGGGGAAUCUUAGACAAUGGGGGAAACCCUGAUCUAGCCAUGCCGCGUGAUCGAUGAAGGCCUUAGGGUUGUAAAGAUCUUUCAGUGGGGAAGAUAAUGACUGUACCCACGGAAGAAGCCCCGGCUAACUCCGUGCCAGCAGCCGCCGUAAUAC